AUUGAACGCUGGCGGCAGGCUUAACACAUGCAAGUCGAACGAGUGGCGGACGGGUGAGUAAUGCUUGGGAAUCUAGCUUAUGGAGGGGGAUAACUACGGGAAACUGUAGCUAAUACCGCGUACCAUAGGAUGAGCCCACGUGGGAUUAGGUAGAUGGUGAGGGAAAGGCUCACCAAGCCGACGAUCUCUACCUGGUCUGAGAGGAUGACCAGCCACACUGGGAAUGAGACACGGCCCAGACUCCUACGGGAGGCAGCAGUGGGGAAUAUUGCGCAAUGGGGGCAACCUGACGCAGCCAUGCCGCGGGAAUGAAGAAGGCCUUCGGGUUGUAAAGUUCUAUCGGUAGAGAGGCGUUAACUACAGAAGAAGCACAGGAUAACUCCGUGCAAGCCGACGCGGUAAUUC
rnacentral:rRNA from 1 species